UACGUAGGGUGCAGGCGUUAAUCGGAAUUACUGGGCGUAAAGCGUGCGCAGGCGGUUUCUUAAGUCAGAUGUGAAAACCCCGGGCUUAACCUGGGAACUGCGUUUGAAACUGGGAGACUUGAGUGUGGCAGAGGGGGGUGGAAUUCCACGUGUAGCAGUGAAAUGCGUAGAUAUGUGGAGGAACACCGAUGGCGAAGGCAGCCCCCUGGGUUAACACUGACGCUCAUGCACGAAAGCGUGGGGAGCAAACAGG
rnacentral:rRNA from 1 species